GUUUCAAGGUGGACAGCAAACACAGAACCACACACACUCCAGAAGGAUGGUUCCUCCUGUGGAAUAUUUGUCCUUAGAAUAAUAAACAAAAGUAUGCAGAGAAAAUACUUGCUGGAGAGCCUCUUCAAUUUUCAAAUGACCCCUCUGCGGCUGAAAAAUACAGAAGACAGGUGGCGUUGACACUCCUAAACGAGACAGAUGACCUCAGUGAGCUUUGCCACUAUUGUGGGGAGAAGGAUGCAGGGCAAGGAAGGACAACUGCCAAAAAAAA